UCUUCCUCUUUUUCAUUCUUUCUUUCUCUCAUUCUUUCUUCCUCUCAUUCUUUCUUCCUCUCAUUCUUCCUUCCUUCCUUCCUUCCUUCCUUCCUUCCUUCCUUCCUUCCUUCCUUCCUUCCUUCCUUCCUUCCUUCCUUCCUUCCUUCCUUCCUUCCUUCCUUCCUUCCUUCCUUCCUUCCUUCCUUCCUUCCUUCCUUCCUUCCUUUCUCUUCCUUUCAGUCUUAGCAUAGAUGCUAAGUAUCAGUUCCAAGAUAGAAGGAUGGUAAGGGCUAGGCAAUUGGGGCUCAGUGAUUUGCCCAGGGUCACACAACUAGGAAAUGUCUGAGGCCAGAUUUGAUCCCAGGACCUCCUGUCUCUAGGUUGACUAUUCAAUAAGACAUUUAGCUGACCCUUUGCCAUUUCCUUCCUCAGCUGAUUUUAUAUAUGAGGAAACUGAGGCAAAUAGGAUUUAGUGAAUUUCCCAGGGUCCCAUAGCCAGUAAGUAUCUGAGGCAAGAUAAGAACUCAAGUAGAUGACUCUUUCUGACUCCAAGUCUGGCAUCUUAUCCACGGCAUCACCUUAUUUUGUAGAUGAAGAAUCAUAAUCUGAUUGAGGUUAAGCAAUUUGUCCAAUACAGAGGCAGAAUUUUUAACUCCAUUUUUCCUGAUUGCAUGUCCUGUGCUCCAUCCAUUGUACCACCUAGCUUCUUGAAUCACAUUCCUGGACUGCUCUGGGGAUGAAAUGAAAAGUGUCUUGUCCUUGUCUCCCAGUUAACGAGGCCAUAUCUGAGACUACCUCCUGAAAUCUCUCUGGGAGAACCUGAUACAGAUAUCAGGAGCAACACUAAGUUGAGUACUACCACCCCCCGCCUCUCCCGCAUCUUGGAGUCUGCCAUGUUUGGAGCUUCCCCAAGCCACCAUUCUGUCCUUUCUACCUCCUCACGGUAUCUGGAUUGCUGGCAGCCCUGGUGGGAAUACACUGAAAGGGUAAGAUCUUCAUAUUCUCUCUGGAAAAAUGACUUUCCAGACCCAGGUGAUCUCCCUAAAUGCCACUGGUAGGUCAGAUGCUCUGAAUUAUCUUUGUUCUUGCUCUCCUUUCAUUCGGGCAUUAGGGAGGAGGAUCUAGCAUCAUCCCUCUGCUUUUUGCCACUGAUUUUUCUGUUUGGGUUUUUGAUUUUUCUGUUUGGUUUCUGACUGAAUGUGUUGUAUGAGAAAUCACAUUGAAAAGAGAUGUGGCAUGUUUGACUGUUCUUAUGGCCAGGGUAAGAGGUCAAGGGCAUUCUCAGAAAGGGGACCUCAGAAAGUGUUACCAUUUCUUUUGUUUCUCUUUCAUGAUUUUACUUAACUUUCAUUUCAUUUUACUUUGAUUUAAUCUACCCCAAACCAUGUUUAUUAACUCUUCCUGCAAGCCUUUGUGAACUUUGUUUCAGAAUAUUUUCUGCAUGGAUUUUCUAAAGGAACUCAGCACAGUGGGAGGAAAAUAUUUCUUUUUGGAAGCAGGGGACCUGGGUUCAAAUUCCCCUUUGGAAUUGUUGUGACUUAAAUUUUUUUUAUUAAUUAAUUUUUAGAUGUGUCACUUUGAGCAAGUAAUCUAAUCUCUCCAGAUAUAAUCUUCAUCCAUACAUGGGGAAACAUUCAUAUUAUAAAACUGCUUUCAUUUUUCUAUUCAAUGUUGUCUAAAGAGAACAUAGAGAAUGGGAAGACAAUUGAGGAAGAUUUGAAAAGGACCAGAGCUUUGUGGAGAAAGUGGAAAGGUAGGACUGAAGAAAGGGAAGAAUUCUGUCCUAGAUGGUCCUUUGCCUUGAAGCUAUUGAUCCCCUGAGGUGAGAGCUGAAAUCAUCAUUGCUUGCUUCUCUUUUCUGUCUGAUCACUGUUUCUGGGGGGGUCCCAGGAAGGGAUGCAGUCAACUCUAUGCUUGGUGGAGCUAAAGCCCUGUCUUCCUGCAUUGAUUCUUUGAGAAGAACUCAGGCCCACCAGUCCUGGACCCUUUCAGUGUUAAAGAGAAAACCCAGUGGGCCUCCUUCUGUGCAGUUUCAUUGUCCUGUCCAUAGUGUGAUCAGAGGGGAGAGGGUAAGAAAAAUGACUUGUUCAUUUCCAGUUCACUGUCUUCCCCUGCCUUGGGGGCUGCUUGGCGCAGGGAAAACAACCCUAGACUUCAUGUCACUUUGGAGACCUGGGCUGUAGCUCUUCUGCUUACAAGCUUCAACUUUAGUUAUUUCAUAGUAAGUUAUUCCACCUCUGCCUAAGCCUCAUUUCCUCCUCUCUAAAGUGAGGAUAAUAGUAUUUGCCCUGCCUACCUCACCAGUUCUUGUGAGAAUUCCAUUUAGAUAAUAGAUAUUAAAAGACUUUGUAAAUAGCAAAGUACAAUCUAGACUAUAUGAUUUCUUUCCCUUUCUCUCUCUUUUUCUCCCUUUCCUCUUCUCUUUCUCUCUCUCCCUCCUCUUUCCAUCUCUGUCCCCUUCCUUCUAACCCCCUUUUAUUUCAUUUCCUUGACUCUAUUUGUUUUGAUAGGUAUCUGCAAGUUUAUCUUGGCAAAGAUGGGGGAAAGUCCAAAGCCUACAAGGCAAGUGAACAUUACCUGAUUCAAGAGGUACAUUGCUCAUGAAGCCCUGUGCUUAUUUUAGGGAAAGGGGAUAAAAGGUGGGAACCUGGGAAGCAUAGAUCCCUUGACUUGAAUUAAAGUGCCUGAAAGCAGCCUUGAGAAAAGGACUUCACCCAUGGCCUACCACCAGUAUCUCUGGUCACGUCUCUCAAUAGUUCCUAAUCAGAGUCAAAACUAGGGUGGUAUAACGGGUACUUUUCCUCAAAGCACUGACAUUGAGAGAGUACUAACUAGGAAGAAUUUCCUCUCAGUGUAGAAUUCAGUGACAUUGAUCUUGUUCUAGGGUAAUAUUCUUCCUCUCUCUGGAAACUACACUCAAGCCCUGGCCCUCAGUAGUGGCCAAAUCUCCAGCAGCUAUUUCUCCAUGUGUACUUCCUUACCUCAGUGGUUCCACCUUUACUGAGCUUCCACUGACCCUUCACCCUUUGCUGUAUCCUCCUCUUUACAUUAUCCCAGGUUUAAAAAUUCCUAGUUACUGCUCUCCUUCUUAGAAAUUUUCUGAUUGGUCCUUAUGUAUAAGGGGAAUCUCCCCAACUAGACUGGACAGUAGGGACCAUGUCUCCUCUUUUUCUUAAACUUCUCACAAUGUUUAGUGCUUGCUAAAAGUAGAUACUUGCUAAAGGCACGUUUGGCUGAUGGAUGACCCCCUUCUUGCCUCCUGUCCCAUACAUUACUUAUGCCUACCACGUAUAUGAUAUUGAUACUUUAUAUGUGUUAGUAUGCUGCUCAGGGAUGGGCAUUAGUCCUCUUCAGAGUAUCAUCCCUUCUCUGAGCUGCCGUAGCAUUGGGCAUUGAUAAAACCCACUUGAUCAUCUCAGCCAUGGCCUGGGAUUUUUCUUUAUUUUGCAAAUGCUUAUCUUAUCUAUCUAGGGUUUCCUAUCUAGAGUCUAAGCUCCUUGAGUUCAGUGACUAUCUCUCACACAAUGAUCCUUUGCACUUAUCCAGGAAUCAGACUUCUGGUAACCUCAACUAUCUAUGACAUAGCCAUGAACCUGAAAUUUAGCCCAAUUAAAUUAAAAUUAAAUACCUACUGUGGAUAAGACAAAAACACCUUGGAGUGUCAAAUAGCUGUUAAUAUGUAUAUGCUGAGCAGGGGAGGCAGAACUGCCUCACUAGACAAUUGUACAUAAAAUAAGGCAGCAAUUUUGAGACGAUUAACACAAUGACAGCUGCUUUUGGCCUUGUAAGAAAAUGUGUUGUGGCAUAAAAAAAGAAAUUUGAAAAAAUGACAAGUAAUAGCUGUGGGAGAAGAUAGACAAAUUAGAGAAACUCAUUAGUCUGGGGAUAUUUAGUGUCAGGGCAAACAGGUUUUCGUCUCUCUGGAGUACCUGUGAGUAUGACUCAACUGUCAUUAAUGUUCAUAAUAAAGAGCCUUAAAUCAUCAAGAAAAAAUUAAAUUGUAUUCUGUGUCCUCUCUUUCAGAAAGAAGUGAAACAUGUAAUCCACUUGGAAAUAGUUUUAUUCUAAAUGGUUAAAAUGGGGGAAAAUGUUUUGGGUAACCAAGACAGGGCCAAUGGAUCUUUGCCCCAGGGCACUGGCAUUGGCUGGGUGAGAGGAGAGACACUUCCUGUUAACAAGGCAUAUUUCUAUCCUUCUUUUUCUAAGUAGAUGUACUUGGUAUGGGACUGUCCUCUGGGCUGAUGUACCCAAGUCCUAACCCUCUCCCUGACUUCUACCUCCCUGCCGGGUAGCUGUGGAACUCCAUUCAUGACCCCAGAAUUUCUAGCACAUCUGGAUUUGCCCCAGGCACUGUUUCAUCUCCUUCAAAGAGAUUCAUGUGUGUAAAGCACUUUGCAAACCUUGAAACACUGUAUGUAUGUUAGCUAUUAUUAUUAUUACUAAAGAUACUAUUUAUAAGGGAUGAGCUACAGUUAUCUGAAAAAUUUACUUUUGUGGAAUAAUUCAUUUCCAGAGGAUGCUGUAGAAAUGAAAUGAUACUAUAUUGUUUUACAUCCUUGUCAAUAUCUAUAUGACAGAGUUCCUUAUUCAAUGUAGGGACAUGACUUUAGCGGGAAGGGAUGCUGGAGAUUAUCUAUUUCAACCCUCAUUUUGCAGGUGAGGAAAAUGACUUGCUGAAGGGCAAAUAGCCAAUAAGUGGCAGAUCUAGGUUUAAAACCCUUGACUCUAAAAAUGAGAGCUCUUGACUUUUGAUGAUUAUAUGUUUCCAAGGCUCAGGUGCUUUGUUUACAGAGAAAGUGGCAGGUCAAAUGUGGGCUUUACCUCCGGAAGAAGGUUUAUCUUUAGAUUCUGCCCCUGCAAUAUUUUGGUGAUCCUGAAUCCUGGGAGAGUGGGUGGUCAAAUGUAUCUUUGGUGCUAUGCCACUUUCGUUACUCCCAGAAUUCAUCCAUUGGGGGCAAAUGAUGGGGGGAGAGUCUUCCAAUUUAGAUGCUGGUUGAGCAGAGGAAUGCUCAAUGGCCAGGAAUCCCACCCAGGUGUGAGAAGCACAGUUGGCCCAUUAAGUCAAAAGUAGCAUUAAAGAGCCUAGGAAGAAAAAAAAAGGAAAAAAAAAGACAUCUGUUGCCCCCACAUGGCUCCUUAACAUUGCUUUUUCGACAGAACACAAGCUGCAGAUGUAAGCCAGGAGCCCUAGGCAGCUUGCAUAGGACAGGCCUUUUUUCCCCUCCUUCCACUGUGGUAGUGCCCUCUGGGGCUGGGCAAUUUUGUCUAAUAUCUAAUUCAUUUUGUAGAGUCAAACUCAUUACUGUUUGGGAAUAGCGUGCAGAUUUUAUUUUCUUUUAAUCCAGCCGACACAAGCAAUUUUCAAGUCCUUCUUUACCGUGGAGAGCGAUCCUCCCCGAUGGCAGGCAAUGCUGAGGCUGCAGUUUGAUUUAUUUGGGAGGGUGGCAGCAAAUAGCUUAGGAGAUAAUCAGGCUGGUGAUGGACAGACAGGAAAGUGGAUGCACUGCACAUACUUAAGAGUCAGCAGUGGGGCAUAGCUUGGCCCUCUGGAAAGAAGAGAGAGUCAUCUUCCAGUGUGGCAUCACAAGAUCCUGGGAUGUCAGAGAUGGUAAGGACUCUAUGGCUACCAGCUUCCCAUCCUUCCGCCACCCCUUCUUCCUUGUCUUGUUUUAUAGAUGGGAAAACUGAGCUCCCAGAGAGAAAUCCAUGGAAAGGUCACCACAUGGACAAAGGGGACAGCAGAAGAACUGAAUACAGAAACAGGAUUCCACAGCCUUCCCAUAAGGAGAGCUGAGUCCAGUGACUGAGUGAGAUGUUAUUUAGGGAAAAUCUGCUUUGGUUUGAAAUAGGAAGCUGCAGGACCCUGCGAUGCCAGCAGUUUUCUUCGGGGGCAUCUGCUGGAAGAAAGCAAAACCAGAUUUUUAAUUCUAUUCAUCAGGUGAAGAUCAUCAUGAGGGUGCUCUGGGAUCCCAGAGCUUGGGUUUAUGCCAAGUAUCAUAGCAAAGAGUGACCUUUUGGAACCAGGCCAGCAGAAUCUGAGUCUAGAAUUCAUCUGGCAGUCAUGCCACAUUUGAUGGGAACUUGAUGGGAUCAAUGCUCCAUAGGAACUGAACCAAGUUUCGAGCCACUCCCCCAGAGACCAAGCAACCCUUGGAGCAGGCGCUUUUAUCCCCAUUCUACAGCUAAGGAACCUGAGGCAGAAAUGAAGUGAAAUGCUCUCAGGCUGGAUUUGAGCUCAUAUUUUCUUGACUCCAGGCUCAGUGUUCUAUCUACUGUCUCAAAUAAAUGAAUAAAAAUUAAAAUCGAACUCCCAUUUGUGGCAGAGUAGUGUACCAUGUGUGACCUGAACCCCAAAGUCCAUUUGCAUGGAUGACGUAUUAAAUAAUCAAUCUCUUUCACUAAGGAGAAUCCCAGGCAAAUAAAUAGGCUUUGAGUGGUUAGAAAGGUAUCUGAGUAGCAGUCACAUUAGUGUUAUGAGGCAGAACUCCAGCAAGACUAAGUAGCCUGAGGUCAUUAUCCCCUGCCUCCUCAUCACUUUUGAGCUUUCCUUGACCAUCUCUGGCUCUCUGUCUCUGUGUCUCUCUAUUCAUAUUAUACACAUAUACACAUUUGCUUAUACACACACCUACAUGCUUACAUACACACACACACACAUAUUUAUAUAUAAGUUUGGGGGUUCCAGGAAAAUUAUCCAUGGGACCAGAACAAAUACCCACAGGAUUUGGAGGCUAGAUUAGGAAUGUUUGCCUGGUUCAGGCAUAGAUUUAGGGGAAAAGGGAAUCUGGAGUAGGAACCGGGUAGACCCUGAUAUUCAAGAACAAUGGUAAGGGUCAGGUCCCAGGGUACCUUUUGAUCAAAGCUUCUUUACCUUUUUUGAGUCACUGACUCCUUUGGCAGUCCAGUAUGCAUUCCCUCUUAGAAUGUUUUUUAAAUCUUUGGAGGAAAUGCAAAUUUCUGGUAGAAAUUAUUGAGGAGGCAGCUAGGUGACUCAAUGGAUGGAAAGCCAGGCUUAGAGAUGAUAGGUCCUAGGGUCAGAUCUGGUCUCAGACACUUCCUAGCUGUGUGACCCUGGGCAAGUAACUUAACCCCCAAUACUUAGCCCUUAUGGCUCUUCUGCCUUGGAACCAAAUAUACAGUAUUGAUUCUAAAACAGAUGGUAAGUAGUGAAAUUGUCAGCUCUGGGAGGGGGGAAGGAAGAGGAGAGGGAGACAACAAGAAUCAUGUAACCAUGGGAAAAAUAAAAAAAAAACAGAAGGUAAGGAUUUUUAAAAAGAAAUUAUUUAAAAUAAAUAUGUAAUUUUUUCCAUACAUGUUUAUGCCCCCCCCCGAAAUCUAUUCAUGGACUCCUUCUGGGUCAGUGGACCCCAGGUGAAGAAACCCUGCAUUAGUGUCAUAGACUGUUAGGAUUGGACAAGAUCUUUUAGUCUUUUUACAAAUAAGAAAACAAGAUGAGAAGAAUUAGACAUUCUUGUGUUUAUAUAGCUAGUUUUGGGAGGUGACAAGGACUAGGAUUUGGUCUUUUGACUUGGGGUUUACUAGGGGAGAUGCUGAGAAUGUACUGGGAGAGGCUCCAUUCCAAGGGAAGUGUCAUUGAAACUUUUUCUGGGAGGCUGAGAAUGUAGGAGUCCUUGGGGAUGACAAAGCCGGGCACACUCAGGCAAUCAUAAAAAUCACUCUUCACUGAGAAGCCGCCUUCCUUCCCAUGCAAUCUUCCUCGGCAGCUAAGCAGCUCCACCUUCUGCCCUCCUUUUAUUUUCUUCUACUGUUAAUGAUUUUUGUAGUUAAUGAGAUUUCUCCCCCCAACCCCUUCUCUAAUUACAUGACUCCAGGGUCACAUUUGAUAACCAGCAAGCUGUCUACUUAUACACCCCCCCCCUUUUGCAACUUUUCUGUUUUGACCCCUUUAUUUUCUGCUGUUAAAAAGAAAAACAAAGUAUGUCUCUCGGAAGACAGUUACUCUUCGUUCUGGAGUCCAAAUACAGUAGUUCCCAGUGUUGGCAAGGCAAGGUGAUUGAUUUGUGGUGCAGGAAGACAGACUUGCUUCCCCAAACCCUAAUAAAGGCACCUGCCUCAUGCACCUGUUGAACCCUGUCUCCUAAGCUAAAGUGUAAGCAAUUGGAGGGCAGUUCCCAUCAUUUCUCCUUGCCUAGUAAACCCUCAACCUCUAUUUCCAAGGGUCAAGUGCACACAGAUGGGCACACUAGAUUCUCAAUAAAGACAUUCUUGAUUAUUUGAUGUACAUUAUCAUUAAGGAAAUGUCAUGUACCUUGUGAAGAUGGCUGGAGUCAGUGGUCUCAAACCAUCCCAUUAAAAAAAAAAACACCUUACUUUUGACUUUAGUUAACAACUCUAAGUCAGAAGGGUAAGGGCUAGGCAAACAGUGUUAAAUGACUUGCCCAGGGUCACACAGCUAGGAAGUAUCUGAGGGCAGAUUUGGCCCCAGGUCCUCCUAACUUCAGAUCUGAUGCUCUAUCCACUGUACCCUUAGCUUUCCCAAACCAUCCCUUAUACUAUAGAACUAAUUGUAUUUUUAGGAGAAGGGCAGGGGAACCUGGACCAGAGCCUGUUCCGGAUUUGGGGAUGCCAGGGCUGUGACUCUUCAUUUCCUUGUUCUCUUUGUGGUACAGCUCUAUUAAGCCUGGGUACCUGGUGACUUUUCUAUUAUAUCUGUUUGGGUGCUAUUGUGUUGUAUGUGUUCUAGGCAAGGGGAAGGAGGGAAUCUCGUGAAUGAGUUACACCAUAACUUCUGUAGGGCUUAAGGUACAACGUAUAGCAAAGAACUGGGCAGGGACACGCCGUUGGACUUACUCAGGGCUGCCUGACAACUGAGGAGGAACACUAAUGGUCAGUGUGGGAAAAAUGAGUGUAGGGAAUGUUGACCCCCAAGACUAGGUACUUCUCAGUUCAAUGUUUCUUCAUCCAUCUCUCCCUCCCCUCCUCACAUCACCUUAAUCAACUAAUCAUUUUUGGAACUGAAACCAACCGCCUGGUCAAGUUAUGGUAAAGAUGCCAGUUUGGGGUAUUUGGAGACCUAUUACCAAGGGGCUGCUAGUAAAUGUUUAACAGGCUCUGCUAAAAGUAUGGCACACUUUAAAGUUUGAACUGUAUUAUUUACAUUUUUUCCCACCACUUUAAGUAGAGAAAAUCAACAAGACAAUAAAUCAAGCCCUGUUUUUUUUUUUUUCAGUAUUUGCUGAUUUCCUAGGUGUAAAUGCUUACAAUGAAAAGCCUAACAAAUUGGUCCCCAAAACCCAUUAAAGUUGGCUCCAGUUCACCUUGGCUUUUUACCCUGAAUGCUGAGAUACCCUUUAUUUUAUUUUAUGCUGAAAUAUUUUAUUUUUUCCAACUAUAAGUACAAAUAAUUUUUACAUGUGAUUUGAAGAACCUAGUUCUAAAUUCUCUCCCUCCAUUCCUGCCUCCAUGAGACAAGCAAUUUUAUAUAUUAUUCAUGUUCCAUCUGAUGCCUUUAAAAUAUCUCCUUUCAAUUGCCUUUUUUUAAACCCUUACUUUCCAUCUUGUAACAACUCUAAGGGCAAGGGCUAGGCAAAUGGGGUUAAGUGACUUGCCCAGGGUCACACAGCUAGGAAAUGACCCAGGUCCUCCCACCUCUGGCUCUGACUUUCAAUCCACUGAGCCACCCAGCUGCCCCCAAGAAUAUCAUUUUCUACCUUGAUCCCUAAAUGGAAUAUUUAGAGUAUCCUAAUUCUGUUCUUAUGUGUUCUUUUAGCCUUUGGAGAAAAGAGGGCAGAGCGGCACUGAGGAGUGAGAUGCAGUUCAAUGUUAAUGCUUUUUUUUGGAGUUAUCUAAUAUCCAAUGCUCUCCUAGCUGCCAAAAUUGAACCUAUUAAUGCUAUUGCCUAUAAUGAAGAGCUACAUCAGAUGAUCUUUUGAUAUCUUUUCUAGCUCUAAGAUGAGAUUUUAUGAUUCUAAUAUUCCUGCUUUGACAUUUCAUUAAUAAUAAUGUUUAUGAAAUAAUUGAUCAUGCCUUUAUUGAGAAUCCAGUGUGCUAUACCCUGUGCACUCUACCCCUGGGAGUCGGGGUUGGGGGUUUAGUGACCAAGGAGAAACUAUGGCCUCUGACCUUAAAUAGCUUAGAAGUCAGGGUUCAUUCACUUCAGUGAUCCUUGGCUUCCUUGGUACAGUUUGGGAAGCCUCCCUCAAUGAUACCUAUCACAACUCCACUAAGCCUUGGGAAGUCUGCCAGUCUAGUGAUUAUCCUUUCCACGUCUAGUCAGAUUGGUCCUUAGAUAUAAAGUCCUUGGACAGACAGGACUCUGGGCUGGUAUUCGAAGCCUUUCCAGCUGGGUAAGACCUUGAAGAAUUCAUUCAUUGUCAGUUUUGCCUUAGAGUAUUCAGGGUCAUCUACACACAGCAAGGAGGCAUGGAAACUAGGGCUUUGGUGGAAAGUGGGAUCUUUCCCAGGAUCCCACAGAAGGCAAGAUUCUAGCAGCCUCUGGAGUCAUUUUUUUUAAUGCUUUCAGAUUUGCAAAGAAGCUUACAUAGAUUAACUCAAUUAAUUCUCACACCUUUGUGAGGUAGGUGAUUUUGUCAUCCCCACUUUACAAACGAGGAAAUUGAAGCUAAGAAAUUGAAGCAGCUAGGUGGUGCUCUGGGUCUGGAAUCAGGAAUACCUGAAUUCAAAUCCAGACAUUUACUAGUUCUGUGAUCCUGGGCAAAUCAGUUCGUUUCUGACUGCCCCAGUUUUGUCAACUGUAAAAAAAAAAUUGAGAUAAUGAUAGCACCUUCCUCCUAGAGUUCAUGUAAAGAUCAAAUGAGAUAAUAUUUGUAAACCCUUAGCAUGGUGCCUAGAGCAUAGUAGGUGCUUAAUAAAUGCUUAUUCUCCCUUCUCCCUACCUAAGGGUCAUAGCACCUCAAGCAGGAUUUAAAUUUAGUACCUUCCAGGAGCAAUGCUCUACCCACUGUCCUACCUAGCCACCACGAACCCCUUUUGUAGCCUCAGGUUCUGCAUGGAUUCAGCUGUGGUUCUUUCACUCUUCUGUUGUCCCAAAUUCUGAAUCAGUCUCAGACCUUAUGUGAUCUUCUUGUUCUUGUCUCUGCUCCCCAGAUGACUGGGACUCCUCUAUGUUUACCCAGCCGUUUCUGUCCUUACAGCUGCUUUGGACUUUUGUUUCUCUAUUGUCUAGUCUUCCCAUUUGAACUGUCCAUCUUGGUCAUGAUAGCUUUUCCCAGAACCUCUUGCACAGGACCUUUUUCUGAUCAGUGCAGCAGGGAAGGGGAAAGAACUGCAUGAUGACACUCAGAACUCCUUGGGCAUCUCUUCUAGUAUGACUCUUCAAUGCAAGCCUGCUACAGAAGUUUGAUACUUCAUGUAUUUAAUUCACUGAAUUUGCCCAGUGUAUGAGGUGAAGACCUUUGGGGGUCUCAGAGUCCCCAUCAGGAAAUGGUAAGGUUGGGCCGGAUGAUUGCUUAGUUCUCUUUUAUCCCUAUGAUACUAUUCUGUGCACCAUUUCUGUACGUCUUGAUGUCUUUCUGGUCUUUGUUCAUUCUCGUAGAUAGCUGGAGUUUUAUGAGCAGCGUCAGGGCUGUUUGAUGUGACCUAAUCAGGGAGUCUUCCUUGUAGGGACUAGGGAAGCAGGGACCCAAGAGAGACAGGAGCCAGAGACAGAAACCGUGUUUUUGGCAGUUAAAUUAUGAACCAACAACUUCCAAAGAGGAGCCUUUUCAUCCAUCUCCAGAGAAGAUGGAAACAAGGAAAAGUUGGGGGCAGAAAGUACUUUGGAGAGUGGUUACUCAAACUGUGGCUCAGAAAAGGUAUUUCUCUGCUAUUUCCUUCCUUCCUAAAUGGAACGAGGUCACCCUUGGAAGGGGGCUGCUGGGGUAGUUUGGAGAGAACAGCUCUAUGUGCUCAACAAGGACUGGCAGUGGAAGCUGCAUUGGGGAGCUUCAUUAGGAGGGGUUGGGCUGAGUGCUUGGAGAGUCCUAGGUAAAGGGAAGCUGCAGGAGUGCCAGAUGUUGCUUAUUAAAUGGUGUCCUAAUAGGCACCAAGACCAUUUGGUCUGGCCCGCUGCAUCCCACGACCUCAGGGAACCACGACUGUUGAUGCUUGUAGCCCAGCUGUUUAGAAGCAGUAGAACAAGCAUAAAUACCAUAAGUUACUUUUUUUUUUAAGUUAGAUUUCCUUUAGAAGCAUAAAGUUUCCUAAUGGGGCAUUUUCAGGUCUGUGUUAUCCUGAUGGUGGCAGGAAAUCUGAGUAGGACCAGGUUCUUUUCUUUCAUUUUUUCUCCUCCAGACCCAAUGAAUUAGGGACAAAGCCCCAUGGGAUAAAAUGUUGGAUUUGGAGUUAGAAUACCUAUGUUUGAAUCCUGUAUAAUUAGCUGUGUGAUCAUAGGUAAGUCCCUUAAUCAACAUCAACCUCAGUUUUCUAAUCUGUAAAAUGGACAUAAUUCUAAUACCUCAUAUGGUGGUUGUAAGGGUCAAAUGCGAUAGUGAAUGUAAUGUGCAAUUGAAACUGUAAGGUGCUCUGUAAAUAUUAUCAUCAAACUCUUGUCCACCUGAGCUGGAGAGGGAUUAACUUUCCAGUUCUUCAAUGGGCAACCAGAGAAGAAUAGUCACAUGAAAAUCAGCUUUGGAUGGCCAGUGACAAACUUUCCCAUUACAAGACUUAGAGAAUAACUGCACACAUUCCUAAUUUGUAGGCAGUUUGGUCCAAAAAAAAGGCAAUAGUAUUAGGGGACAUUUUUCUAUGUUGUGGAGUGGAGAGGAUUGGACUUGGAGUAAAUCAGUAGCCUGGGUGCUAGUCCUGUCUGUUACUUUGAGUGAGGAUGACACAAUUAUCUGCUAAUGGGGCACCAGAGCCAAAGUCAGGAAAAUCUGGGUUCAAAUUCUACUUCCUUUACUUACUAUGUGACUGUAGACAGGCAAUCUAUAUAGCUUAACCUCUCUGACUCAGUUUCCUUAUUUAUAAAAUGUGAAUAAUAAUAGUACCUAUUUUACAUUGGCUAAGAUCAUGUACAUAAAAUGCUUUAUAAAUUUUGGAGUUAUGGAAAUGUCAGGUAUUAUCAUCAGAACCGGACACAUACUAGGUUCUUAAUAAACAUUUGUUGAGUUAAAUUAAAUUAUGUGACUGUGGACAAGCCACCUCUUUCUUGCCAUCUC